UACGGGGGGGGCAAGCGUUGUUCGGAAUUACUGGGCGUAAAGGGCUCGUAGGCGGCCAACUAAGUCGGAUGUGAAAUCCCCAGGCUCAACUUGGGAACUGCAUCCGAUACUGGAUGGCUUGAAUUCGGGAGAGGGAUGCAGAAUUCCAGGUGUAGCGGUGAAAUGCGUAGAUAUCUGGAGGAAUACCGGUGGCGAAGGCGGCAUCCUGGACCGACAUUGACGCUGAGGAGCGAAAGCGUGGGGAGCAAACAGG
rnacentral:rRNA from 1 species